rnacentral:rRNA from 1 species
GAUGAACGCUGGCGGCGUGCCUAAUACAUGCAAGUCGAGCGAACGGACGAGAAGCUUGCUUCUCUGAUGUUAGCGGCGGACGGGUGAGUAACACGUGGAUAACCUACCUAUAAGACUGGGAUAACUUCGGGAAACCGGAGCUAAUACCGGAUAAUAUUUUGAACCGCAUGGUUCAAAAGUGAAAGACGGUCUUGCUGUCACUUAUAGAUGGAUCCGCGCUGCAUUAGCUAGUUGGUAAGGUAACGGCUUACCAAGGCAACGAUGCAUAGCCGACCUGAAAGGGGGACAGGCCACCCGGGAACUGGACAACGGUCAAGACCCCUAGGGGAGGAAGAGGGAGGAAAUCUGCAGCAAUGGGCGAAAGCCUGACGAAGCAACGCCGGGGGGGUGAUGAAGGUCUUCGGAUCGUAAAACUCUGUUAUUAGGAAAGAACAUAUGUGGAAGUAACUGUGCACAUCUGGACGGUACCUAAUCAGAAAGCCACGGCUAACUACGG